rnacentral:rRNA from 1 species
AACCUACCUGGAUCUGGGGGAUAGCCCGCCGAAAGGCGGAUUAAUACCGCAUAAGACCACAGAGCGGCAUCGUUUAGUGGUUAAAGAUUUAUUGGAUUCAGAUGGGGUUGCGUAGCAUUAGCUAGUUGGCGGGGUAAUGGCCCACCAAGGCGACGAUGCUUAGGGGACCUGAGAGGGUGAUCCCCCACACUGGCACUGAGAUACGGGCCAGACUCCUACGGGAGGCAGCAGUAGGGAAUAUUGGGCAAUGGGCGAGAGCCUGACCCAGCCAUGCCGCGUGCCG